rnacentral:tRNA from 3 species
GGUAGUUCAGUCGGUUAGAAUACCGGCCUGUCACGCCGGGGGUCGCGGGUUCGAGUCCCGUCC